rnacentral:rRNA from 1 species
ACACAUGCAAGUCGAGCGGUAAGGCCCUUCGGGGUACACGAGCGGCGAACGGGUGAGUAACACGUGGGUGAUCUGCCCUGCACUUCGGGAUAAGCCUGGGAAACUGGGUCUAAUACCGGAUAUGACCAAGGACUGCAUGGUUUUUGGUGGAAAGGUUUACUGGUGCAGGAUGGGCCCGCGGCCUAUCAGCUUGUUGGUGGGGUAAUGGCCUACCAAGGCGACGACGGGUAGCCGACCUGAGAGGGUGACCGGCCACACUGGGACUGAGACACGGCCCAGACUCCUACGGGAGGCAGCAGUGGGGAAUAUUGCACAAUGGGCGAAAGCCUGAUGCAGCGACGCCGCGUGAGGGAUGACGGCCUUCGGCUU